AACGCUGGCGGCAGGCCUAACACAUGCAAGUCGAGCGGUAGAGAGAAGCUUGCUUCUCUUGAGAGCGGCGGACGGGUGAGUAAUGCCUAGGAAUCUGCCUGGUAGUGGGGGAUAACGCUCGGAAACGGACGCUAAUACCGCAUACGUCCUACGGGAGAAAGCAGGGGACCUUCGGGCCUUGCGCUAUCAGAUGAGCCUAGGUCGGAUUAGCUAGUUGGUGAGGUAAUGGCUCACCAAGGCGACGAUCCGUAACUGGUCUGAGAGGAUGAUCAGUCACACUGGAACUGAGACACGGUCCAGACUCCUACGGGAGGCAGCAGUGGGGAAUAUUGGACAAUGGGCGAAAGCCUGAUCCAGCCAUGCCGCGUGUGUGAAGAAGGUCUUCGGAUUGUAAAGCACUUUAAGUUGGGAGGAAGGGCAUUAACCUAAUACGUUAGUGUUUUGACGUUACCGACAGAAUAAGCACCGGCUAACU
rnacentral:rRNA from 1 species